AGAGUUUGAUCAUGGCUCAGAUUGAACGCUGGCGGCAGGCCUAACACAUGCAAGUCGAACGGUAACAGGAAGCAGCUUGCUGCUUCGCUGACGAGUGGCGGACGGGUGAGUAAUGUCUGGGAAACUGCCUGAUGGAGGGGGAUAACUACUGGAAACGGUGGCUAAUACCGCAUAACGUCGCAAGACCAAAGAGGGGGACCUUCGGGCCUCUUGCCAUCAGAUGUGCCCAGAUGGGAUUAGCUUGUUGGUGAGGUAACGGCUCACCAAGGCGACGAUCCCUAGCUGGUCUGAGAGGAUGACCAGCCACACUGGAACUGAGACACGGUCCAGACUCCUACGGGAGGCAGCAGUGGGGAAUAUUGCACAAUGGGCGCAAGCCUGAUGCAGCCAUGCCGCGUGUAUGAAGAAGGCCUUCGGGUUGUAAAGUACUUUCAGCGGGGAGGAAGGUGUUGUGGUUAAUAACCGCAGCAAUUGACGUUACCCGCAGAAGAAGCACCGGCUAACUCCGUGCCAGCAGCCGCGGUAAUACGGAGGGUGCAAGCGUUAAUCGGAAUUACUGGGCGUAAAGCGCACGCAGGCGGUCUGUCAAGUCGGAUGUGAAAUCCCCGGGCUCAACCUGGGAACUGCAUUCGAAACUGGCAGGCUUGAGUCUUGUAGAGGGGGGUAGAAUUCCAGGUGUAGCGGUGAAAUGCGUAGAGAUCUGGAGGAAUACCGGUGGCGAAGGCGGCCCCCUGGACAAAGACUGACGCUCAGGUGCGAAAGCGUGGGGAGCAAACAGGAUUAGAUACCCUGGUAGUCCACGCCGUAAACGAUGUCUACUUGGAGGUUGUGCCCUUGAGGCGUGGCUUCCGGAGCUAACGCGUUAAGUAGACCGCCUGGGGAGUACGGCCGCAAGGUUAAAACUCAAAUGAAUUGACGGGGGCCCGCACAAGCGGUGGAGCAUGUGGUUUAAUUCGAUGCAACGCGAAGAACCUUACCUGGUCUUGACAUCCACAGAACUUUCCAGAGAUGGAUUGGUGCCUUCGGGAACUGUGAGACAGGUGCUGCAUGGCUGUCGUCAGCUCGUGUUGUGAAAUGUUGGGUUAAGUCCCGCAACGAGCGCAACCCUUAUCCUUUGUUGCCAGCGGUUAGGCCGGGAACUCAAAGGAGACUGCCAGUGAUAAACUGGAGGAAGGUGGGGAUGACGUCAAGUCAUCAUGGCCCUUACGACCAGGGCUACACACGUGCUACAAUGGCGCAUACAAAGAGAAGCGACCUCGCGAGAGCAAGCGGACCUCAUAAAGUGCGUCGUAGUCCGGAUUGGAGUCUGCAACUCGACUCCAUGAAGUCGGAAUCGCUAGUAAUCGUGGAUCAGAAUGCCACGGUGAAUACGUUCCCGGGCCUUGUACACACCGCCCGUCACACCAUGGGAGUGGGUUGCAAAAGAAGUAGGUAGCUUAACCUUCGGGAGGGCGCUUACCACUUUGUGAUUCAUGACUGGGGUGAAGUCGUAACAAGGUAACCGUAGGGGAACCUGCGGUUG
rnacentral:rRNA from 7 species